rnacentral:rRNA from 1 species
GAUGAACGCUGGCGGCGUGCCUAAUACAUGCAAGUCGAGCGAACGGACGAGAAGCUUGCUUCUCUGAUGUUAGCGGCGGACGGGUGAGUAACACGUGGAUAACCUACCUAUAAGACUGGGAUAACUUCGGGAAACCGGAGCUAAUACCGGAUAAUAUUUUGAACCGCAUGGUUCAAAAGUGAAAGACGGUCUUGCUGUCACUUAUAGAUGGAUCCGCGCUGCAUUAGCUAGUUGGUAAGGUAACGGCUUACCAAGGCAACGAUGCAUAGCCGACCUGAGAGGGUGAUCGGCCACACUGGAACUGAGACACGGUCCAGACUCCUACGGGGGGCAGCAGUAGGGACUCUUCCGCAAUGGGCGAAAGCCUGACGGAGCAACGCCGCGUGAGUGCUGAAGGUCUUCGGAUCGUAAAACUCUGUUAUUAGGGAAGAACAUAUGUGUAAGUAACUGUGCACAUCUUGACGGUACCUAAUCAGAAAGCCACGGCUAACUACGUG